rnacentral:tRNA from 1 species
GGGCUGUUAGCUCAAUUGGCAGAGCACUUGACUUACAUUCAAGGGGUCGCAGGUUCGAGUCCUGCACAGCCCA